GUCUUUCUGAGGACAUCUGAUAAAAAUGGAACGAUACAGAGAAAAUUCACAUGGUCUCUGCGUAGAAAUGACACACCCAAAUUGAGAAAUGGUCUAGAAGAAA
rfam:Arabis alpina cultivar Pajares chromosome 8, whole genome shotgun sequence.